rnacentral:rRNA from 1 species
CAGCAGCCACGGUAAAACAGAGGUCUCAAGCGUUGUUCGGAUUCAUUGGGCGUAAGGGGUGCGUAGGUGGCGGUGUAAGUCUAACGUGAAAUCUCGGGGCUCAACCUCGAAACUGCGUCGGAUACUGCAUUGCUAGAGGAUUGUAGAGGAGAGUGGAAUUCAUGGUGUAGCAGUGAAAUGCGUAGAUAUCAUGAGGAAGACCAGUUGCGAAGGCGACUCUCUGGGCAAUUCCUGACACUGAGGCACGAAGGCUAGGGGAGCAAACGGGAUUAGAUACCCGGGUAGUCCCUGUCUCUUAUAC